rnacentral:rRNA from 1 species
UGGGGAAUAUUGCACAAUGGGCGCAAGCCUGAUGCAGCCAUGCCGCGUGUGUGAAGAAGGCCUUCGGGUUGUAAAGUACUUUCAGCGGGGAGGAAGGGAGUAAAGUUAAUACCUUUGCUCAUUGACGUUACCCGCAGAAGAAGCACCGGCUAACUCCGUGCCAGCAGCCGCGGUAAUACGGAGGGUGCAAGCGUUAAUCGGAAUUACUGGGCGUAAAGCGCACGCAGGCGGUUUGUUAAGUUAGAUGGGAAAUCCCCGGGCUCAACCUGGGAACUGCAGCUGAUACUGGCAAGCUUGAGUCUCGUAGAGGGGGGUAGAAUUCCAGGUGUAGCGGUGAAAUGCGUAGAGAUCUGGAGGAAUACCGGUGGCGAAGGCGGCCCCCUGGACGAAGACUGACGCUCAGGUGCGAAAGCGUGGGGAGCAAACAGG